AAAAAAGGUCGGUUGGUUAAAUAUGCCACACUCAUUAGAAUGGCGAGUGCUGUAUGGCUAUCAAGAUAUAUGACUGACAUAAUUUUUGUGAAUCAAUAGGGUUGGCUCGUUAAGUCGACCCUCUUU
rnacentral:snRNA from 14 species